CCUGGAGAAGGAAAAGGAUGAAGACAGUGUCCGUUAAGUGACGAGCUGAUGGAGAGAGCAAAUGCACUCGAACAUGCGGACAGUAAGGUCUGUUUUUCUUCCGCCCUCUGCUCGCUCGCGGGCCGCCCGGCCUCACGGGCCCCACACAGCGCCCGGCCCCUCACGGCCACUGGGCCGUAUGCACAAGACAGGAGUCUUCUGCGUGUGGGUUUACAUGGAUAUUCAACAUGUGGAUAUACGUACAUAUUUAAAACAUUUUUUUUACGGUUUUGACUCCAGUAGUCGACAACCAUUUUGGCUGUUCGUAAGUUCAAAAAUAGGAAACAAACUUGAUAAGGAUGCGGAAAAAGACCCAGUAGAUGGAACGUGAACGGAAACAAGUAGAUCAAACUGGAUUCCAGAUUUCAGGCCGAACACGGGCAGAGGAGGGACGCUCCCCCAGCUUCCGAACAGAGCCCUGGCCCGGGGGCCCCGCAGCCGGACAUGGCAGCGCUGGGCAGACACUGGCCCCCAGUCUGCGGCUCUGUUCUCACAGAGUCCAGGGCGAGUGGUCACGCAGCUUACUCUGCCACCUCGGACUGCGCUGACACCUCCACGGGAUGCCGAGAGCAGCCUUCUUACUGCUGGAGCUAAUUCUUAUUACUGGAACCAUCUGGACAUUUCUCUGGAAAUAUAUACGUGACAGCUCAGGAGCAGGUGUGACCAGCUGCUGCCCCGCCCAUGCUGGACACACUGGCACACAGACAUGCCAGAGCACUGACACAGAAAGUUCCGUCCCUGCUUGUCUCUGGUCACCAGGAGUACUUCCGUGGAAAAAUCUGGGAAGCACAGGUGUGCGUGACACCACUGUGCACAUAAAGUAUUCAACAAUGUCUACUGACAAGAACAAAUAUCUAACAAGAACAAUUCACAAGUGUAUCAGAUAAGGAUUAAAAUUGCGUUGGUGUUUUCUGAAGAAAUCCUAACCACGCAAUUGGACCGGAGAAGGACUUGACGGGCAAGUUCAAACUUAACGGAAAGUGAAACCUUCAAGAACACGAUACAGACAUUAAAACAGAAAUGCCAUAUUAGGCGAUAUGACAGAACUAAAGUACACAAACAAUGGUGAGGGGGUUGGCCUUCACAUAAAUGGCAAUUAUGGAAAGAACGUAGGAGUAAUUCUCUGCAGAGCACUGGUGGUCACGCUGGUCUGGAAGCAACCGGGGACAGUUAGCGCUGGGCCCUCACGGCCCUCCAGCUAGAGGCCUCCCGGCAAAGGUCUUUAAACGGUUCAAGUGCCAUUACAGACCACUUCUGGCUGUGCCCUAGUUCCACAUUUAAGAGUUUUGAUGCCAAGGCUGUUUGUGGCCUAGAAUGAGCUCCCUUACUAGUGUCUCGUCUCCUCUCUUGAAACAAAGCACACAGAGGGAAAGCCGUCCUCUGGCUCCUGAGCUAAAAAUCACCUGCGCCAUCAAGCCUGCUUUUUCAGAAAGGAACGAUUUCUGAGGCUGAAAGUAAUUCAGCGGGAUUAGUCCAAAGGACCAGUUACGCCAACAAACCACGCCUGCAGUUAAUCAUGAAUUCUUUCAGUGUCUGCAAAGCAACCCAAGAUUACAUCUUCGGGUUGAAGUUACAACCACGAAACUACAUUUUCUGAAAACCCAGGAGAAUGAAGAACAAUAAUGCGUCUAUUCCAAGUAUCCCUUCUGUUUGGCUCUACAUCAUGAUUCUGUUUUCUAGAGCAUGGCGGUCAUUUUCGUGGUGUUUUGCUAAGACAGAUUUUAAAUUUAUUACAGUUAUUUGAAUGCCGAAGUCUCUAGAAAUCUGUUAGGUGGGUAACACGAAAGCAGUGCGACAGGUUUAUCUAAGAACAUUUUUGCCUGCCUCCCGAUGAUUGGCCACAAAUAAACGCUGACUUAAAGUAACGAUA